CGAGCUCAAGCUUAAAACCCAAAGGACUUGACGGUGUCCCACCCACCUAGAGGAGCCUGUUCUAUAAUCGAUUCCCCCCGAUUUACCUCACCACUUUUUGCCUAUCCAGCCUGUAUACCUCCGUCGUAAGCUUACCAUAUGAACGACUCUUAGUGAGCCAUAAGAUUAUUACAUCAACACGUCAGGUCAAGGUGCAGCCCACAAAGUGGAAAGAAAUGGGCUACAAUUUCUAACCUAGAACACACGAAAGACUACAUGAAACACAGCCAUGAAGGUGGAUUUAGUAGUAAAAAGAAAAUAGAGCGUUCUUUUUAACCAGGCGCUGGGACGCGUACACACCGCCCGUCACCCUCUUCAAACGCCAACAAAAGUUUUUAACACAACUAAGCACAAUAGAAGAGGUAAGUCGUAACACGGUAAGCGUACUGGAAAGUGCGCUUGGACUAACAA
rnacentral:rRNA from 1 species